GGGUGCGACCAUACCAGCACUAAAGCACCAGAUCCCAUCAAAACUCCGAAGUUAAGCGUGCUUAGGCUAGAGUAGUACUAGGAUGGGUGACCCCCUGGGAAGUCCUCGUGUUGCACCAC
rnacentral:rRNA from 1 species